UACGAAGGGGGCUAGCGUUGUUCGGAAUCACUGGGCGUAAAGCGUACGUAGGCGGAUCGUUAAGUCAGGGGUGAAAGCCUGGAGCUCAACUCCAGAACUGCCUUUGAUACUGGCGAUCUUGAGACCGGGAGAGGUGAGUGGAACUGCUAGUGUAGAGGUGAAAUUCGUAGAUAUUAGCAAGAACACCAGUGGCGAAGGCGGCUCACUGGCCCGGUACUGACGCUGAGGUACGAAGCGUGGGGAGCAAACAGG
rnacentral:rRNA from 1 species